GCCAGAACUACCACCAGGACUCAGAGGCUGCCAUCAACUGCCAGAUCAACCUGGAACUCUACACCUCCAAGUCUACUUGUCCAUGUCUUACUACUUUGACCGCGAUGAUGUAGCUUAGAAUAACUUUGCCAAAUACUUUCUUCACCAAUCUCAUGAGGAGAGGGCACAUGCCAAGGGAACUGAUGAAGCUGCAGAACCAACGAGGUGGCCAAUCUUCCUUCAAGAUAUCAAGAAACCAGACUGUGAUGACUGGGAGAGCUGGCUGAAUGAGAUGGAGGGUGCAUGACAUUUGGAGAAAAACAUGAAUUAGUCACUACUGGAACUGUACAAACUGGCCACUGACAAAAAUGACCUCCACUUGUGUGACUUAAUGGAGACAAAUGUGUCCUGGAUGGAUUUUCACCUGAAGGAGCAGGUGAAAUCCAUCAAAUAAUUGGAUGACCACAGUGACCAACUUGCACAAGACGGGAGCACCCAAAUCUGGCUUGGCAGAAUAUGUAUUUGACAAACA
rnacentral:lncRNA from 1 species